AUUGAACGCUGGCGGCAUGCCUUACACAUGCAAGUCGAACGGCAGCACGGGAGCAAUCCUGGUGGCGAGUGGCGAACGGGUGAGUAAUGCAUCGGAACGUGCCCAGUCGUGGGGGAUAACUGCUCGAAAGAGCAGCUAAUACCGCAUACGACCUGAGGGUGAAAGCGGGGGACCGUAAGGCCUCACGCGAUUGGAGCGGCCGAUGUCAGAUUAGGUAGUUGGUGGGGUAAAGGCCUACCAAGCCUGCGAUCUGUAGUUGGUCUGAGAGGACGCCCAGCCACACUGGGACUGAGACACGGCCCAGACUCCUACGGGAGGCAGCAGUGGGGAAUUUUGGACAAUGGGCGCAAGCCUGAUCCAGCAAUGCCGCGUGCAGGAAGAAGGCCUUCGGGUUGUAAACUGCUUUUGUCAGGGAAGAAAUCCUCUGGGCUAAUACCUCGGGGGGAUGACGGUACCUGAAGAAUAAGCACCGGCUAACUACGUGCCAGCCGCCGCAGUAAAAC
rnacentral:rRNA from 1 species